GGAGCGUUCUGUAAGCCGUUGAAGCGGAAGCCGGGAGGCACCGUGGAGGUAUCAGAAGUGCGAAUGCUGACAUGAGUAACGAUCAUCAGGGUGAAAAGCCCUGACGCCGAAAGCCCAAGGGUUCCUGCGCAACGUUAAUCGGCGCAGGGUGAGUCGGCCCCUAAGACGAGGCGGAAACGCGUAGUCGAUGGGAAACCGGUUAAUAAUCCGGUACUGGGCGGUAUUGCGAUGGGGGGACGGAGAAGGCUAGGCCAGCCGGGUGUUGGAUGUCCCGGUUCAAGCGUGUAGGCAGAGACUCUAGGCAAAUCCGGAGUCUCUAUGCUGAGGCGUGAUGACCAGUCUCCUCGGAGACGACGUGGUUGAUGCCCCGCUUCCAAGAAAAGCCUCUAAGCUUCAGAUACCGCGCAACCGUACCCCAAACCGACACAGGUGGUCAGGUAGAGAAUACCAAGGCGCUUGAGAGAACUCGGGUGAAGGAACUAGGCAAAAUGGUACCGUAACUUCGGGAGAAGGUACGCUUCUGACGGUGAAGUCCCUUGCGGAUGGAGCUAUCGGAAGUCGCAGAUACCAGGUGGCUGCAACUGUUUAUUAAAAACACAGCACUCUGCAAACACGAAAGUGGACGUAUAGGGUGUGACGCCUGCCCGGUGCCGGAAGGUUAAUUGAUGGGGUUAGCGUAAGCGAAGCUCUUGAUCGAAGCCCCGGUAAACGGCGGCCGUAACAAUAACGGUCCUAAGGUAGCGAAAUUCCUUGUCGGGUAAGUUCCGACCUGCACGAAUGGCGUAACGAUGGCCACACUGUCUCCACCCGAGACUCAGUGAAAUUGAACUUGCUGUUAAGAUGCAGUAUACCCGCGGCUAGACGGAAAGACCCCGUGAACCUUCACUACAGCUUUGCACUGGAUUCCGAGUCGGUUUGUGUAGGAUAGGUGGGAGGCGUUGAAGCGGCCACGCCAGUGGCCGUGGAGCCGACCUUGAAAUACCACCCUGGCCUACUUGGAGUUCUAACCUCGGUCCGUGAUCCGGAUCAGGGACAGUGUAUGGUGGGUAGUUUGACUGGGGCGGUCUCCUCCCAAAGAGUAACGGAGGAGCACGAAGGUGGGCUAAUCACGGUUGGACAUCGUGAGGUUAGUGCAAUGGCAUAAGCCCGCUUGACUGCGAGAAUGACAAUUCGAGCAGGUGCGAAAGCAGGUCAUAGUGAUCCGGUGGUUCUGUAUGGAAGGGCCAUCGCUCAACGGAUAAAAGGUACUCCGGGGAUAACAGGCUGAUACCGCCCAAGAGUUCAUAUCGACGGCGGUGUUUGGCACCUCGAUGUCGGCUCAUCACAUCCUGGGGCUGAAGUCGGUCCCAAGGGUAUGGCUGUUCGCCAUUUAAAGUGGUACGCGAGCUGGGUUUAGAACGUCGUGAGACAGUUCGGUCCCUAUCUGCCGUGGGCGUUGGAGAAUUGAGGGGAGCUGCUCCUAGUACGAGAGGACCGGAGUGGACGUACCUCUGGUGUGCCGGUUGUGUCGCCAGACGCAGCGCCGGGUAGCUAAGUACGGACGGGAUAACCGCUGAAAGCAUCUAAGCGGGAAGCCUACCCCAAGAUGAGUUCUCCCGAGCCCUUGAGGCUCCUGAAGGUCCGUCGAAGACCACGACGUCGAUAGGCGGGGUGUGGACGCGCGGUAACGCGUGAAGCUAACCCGUACUAAUGAACCGUGCGGCUUGACCAU
rnacentral:rRNA from 1 species